UUACACAUGCAAGUCGAACGGCAGCACGGGAGCAAUCCUGGUGGCGAGUGGCGAACGGGUGAGUAAUAUAUCGGAACGUGCCCAGUCGUGGGGGAUAACGUAGCGAAAGCUACGCUAAUACCGCAUACGAUCUAUGGAUGAAAGCGGGGGAUCGCAAGACCUCGCGCGAUUGGAGCGGCCGAUAUCAGAUUAGCUAGUUGGUGGGGUAAAAGCCCACCAAGGCGACGAUCUGUAGCUGGUCUGAGAGGACGACCAGCCACACUGGAACUGAGACACGGUCCAGACUCCUACGGGAGGCAGCAGUGGGGAAUUUUGGACAAUGGGCGAAAGCCUGAUCCAGCAAUGCCGCGUGCAGGACGAAGGCCUUCGGGUUGUAAACUGCUUUUGUACGGAACGAAACGGUCUCCUCUAAUACGGGGGGCUAAUGACGGUACCGUAAGAAUAAGCACCGGCUAACUACGUGCCAGCAGCCGCGGUAAUACGUAGGGUGCAAGCGUUAAUCGGAAUUACUGGGCGUAAAGCGUGCGCAGGCGGUUUUAUAAGUCUGUCGUGAAAUCCCCGGGCUCAACCUGGGAAUGGCGAUGGAGACUGUAAGGCUAGAGUUUGGCAGAGGGGGGUAGAAUUCCACGUGUAGCAGUGAAAUGCGUAGAGAUGUGGAGGAACACCGAUGGCGAAGGCAGCCCCCUGGGUCAAAACUGACGCUCAUGCACGAAAGCGUGGGGAGCAAAC
rnacentral:rRNA from 1 species